AAGUCGUAACAAGGUUUCCGUAGGUGAACCUGCGGAAGGAUCAUUAAUACGUACUUUCACGUAUCACUCAAUCGUGGACUUGUCCCGCUUUUUGUGGAGAGUUGGAGGCGAAAUUUGUGGUCUUUUUUUACCAGCGUGGGGAGGGACUAAGCUUAACGGCUUUUUUUCUCUUUGACCUGUUCGCCGAGGAUUAAUAAAUCGAACGCCAACUUUUGAUCGGAAAGACAAGUGCAGCUUGUUCUGCAUGCAUCUCCUGGUCGGAGUUGUUCGAUUCGACUCUUUACAAAGCGUUUUUUCUUAAUCCAUGCUGGGAAUCAAUUAUUUUUACCCCAAGUACUAUUAUCAAGAACUAAUUGUGUUUUUUCUGCUUCAUUGCGGAGAAAACGCCAAAUACCGAAACUUAAGAACAACUCUUAACAACGGAUAUCUUGGUUCUC
rnacentral:misc_RNA from 1 species